UCCCGGCGGUGCCUAAUACAUGCAGUCGAACGCGUUGGCCCAAUUGAUUGAUGGUGCUUGCACCUGAUUGAUUUUGGUCGCCAACGAGUGGCGGACGGGUGAGUAACACGUAGGUAACCUGCCCAGAAGCGGGGGACAACAUUUGGAAACAGAUGCUAAUACCGCAUAACAGCGUUGUUCGCAUGAACAACGCUUAAAAGAUGGCUUCUCGCUAUCACUUCUGGAUGGACCUGCGGUGCAUUAGCUUGUUGGUGGGGUAAUGGCCUACCAAGGCGAUGAUGCAUAGCCGAGUUGAGAGACUGAUCGGCCACAAUGGGACUGAGACACGGCCCAUACUCCUACGGGAGGCAGCAGUAGGGAAUCUUCCACAAUGGGCGCAAGCCUGAUGGAGCAACACCGCGUGAGUGAAGAAGGGUUUCGGCUCGUAAAGCUCUGUUGUUAAAGAAGAACACGUAUGAGAGUAACUGUUCAUACGUUGACGGUAUUUAACCAGAAAGUCACGGCUAACUACGUGCCAGCAGCCGCGGUAAUACGUAGGUGGCAAGCGUUAUCCGGAUUUAUUGGGCGUAAAGAGAGUGCAGGCGGUUUUCUAAGUCUGAUGUGAAAGCCUUCGGCUUAACCGGAGAAGUGCAUCGGAAACUGGAUAACUUGAGUGCAGAAGAGGGUAGUGGAACUCCAUGUGUAGCGGUGGAAUGCGUAGAUAUAUGGAAGAACACCAGUGGCGAAGGCGGCUACCUGGUCUGCAACUGACGCUGAGACUCGAAAGCAUGGGUAGCGAACAGGAUUAGAUACCCUGGUAGUCCAUGCCGUAAACGAUGAGUGCUAGGUGUUGGAGGGUUUCCGCCCUUCAGUGCCGGAGCUAACGCAUUAAGCACUCCGCCUGGGGAGUACGACCGCAAGGUUGAAACUCAAAGGAAUUGACGGGGGCCCGCACAAGCGGUGGAGCAUGUGGUUUAAUUCGAAGCUACGCGAAGAACCUUACCAGGUCUUGACAUCUUGCGCCAACCCUAGAGAUAGGGCGUUUCCUUCGGGAACGCAAUGACAGGUGGUGCAUGGUCGUCGUCAGCUCGUGUCGUGAGAUGUUGGGUUAAGUCCCGCAACGAGCGCAACCCUUGUUACUAGUUGCCAGCAUUAAGUUGGGCACUCUAGUGAGACUGCCGGUGACAAACCGGAGGAAGGUGGGGACGACGUCAGAUCAUCAUGCCCCUUAUGACCUGGGCUACACACGUGCUACAAUGGACGGUACAACGAGUCGCGAACUCGCGAGGGCAAGCAAAUCUCUUAAAACCGUUCUCAGUUCGGACUGCAGGCUGCAACUCGCCUGCACGAAGUCGGAAUCGCUAGUAAUCGCGGAUCAGCAUGCCGCGGUGAAUACGUUCCCGGGCCUUGUACACACCGCCCGUCACACCAUGAGAGUUUGUAACACCCAAAGUCGGUGGGGUAACCUUUUAGGAGCCAGCCGCCUAAGGUGACAGAUGA
rnacentral:rRNA from 1 species